AUACCGAGUUAAUGCUGUUUAACAACGAGAACCUCAGAAACUUGGCACGAACUUUAAAUUACUUUAAGAAUGUAAUCUUACCUGCAUUCAGUUGGCUUCAUUCAAACAAAGUGAAUCGGAACUUUUGAAAAAUUGAACGUUCUUACGUGGAACACUAACUUGAAUUCCGUUUAAUAUCCCUCGUGCACUUAUCCAUUUGUUUUUCAAUUGAAAAAAAAAAAAAAUAAAUCUUUCUAAAUAAAGGAAUAUUUUUUAAAAAUAUUUAUUAUAUUUAGAGAAGAUAAAAUUUAAUUAAAAAUUGAAUUAAUUUUAAGCAAAUAAAUUCUAUUUAAUAUCAAAUAGAAUAAAAAAUUAUUAUUUUUUAUUCUAUUAGAAAGAAAGAAAGGAAAUGAAAUUGAAUAUUUCACAUUAAUAAUUUUAAUAUAAUUCCUCUCUUUCAUUUUAUUCAUUAUUCACAUUUUGUAAUUUUUAACAACAUCGCCAAUUUUAAUAUUAUUCUACCAACUUCUAGGAACAAAUUUCAUAACGUAAAUUACUUUUAAUUAAAAAUAUUCACCUGUACAUGCGUCUAUUUUUUCUCUCUCAUUUUCAACAAACGAUGCCAUUACAAAAUACUUAUUAACGCGAUUCGUUAGCAACUGGAACAAAUAUAUUUCGUUGGAUUUACAAUUAGUAAUAAUAUGUGAUAUACGAAAGGGUUAAUUAAUUAAGUACGUAUCGAUUGGCCGGAAGAUAGUCUGCAUCGUGUAACAUGAGCUUUGCUCCAACAUGAAAUCAGGGGGGAAAGAGGAGUAGCGGUGGGCGGGGGGUAGUCAACCUGCUCGUAUCAGUGAUUCUCAUUUCGUUCCAUCGCUAUAUCUCGUCAAAUUAUCUUUUCAUUUAUGUAAAUGAAAUUCGAUUUCGACCUGUUUCAAUGUUUGAUCACCAUCCGAACUCGAACCCUUUAGAGAUCACGAUAAGAUAACAAGUGUAGAGGAAUACGACUCCAUCCUUUUCCAUCGUUCUCAUGAGUACCGUCGUAAAUUCCAAAUAAUAAUGCAUUGUACGAGCUGGCGUGUUUUGUUUCUGAAUAAGCACACUCUUGCACGUUUGCAUAAUUCGAUACGCGUCGGGGUUUACAUUGUAUUUUAAUUAUCUUCAUUACGUUACAACUUGUACAAAGUAUUUCUCCGUUGAAAUUGGAAUGCAAAUAAACAUUAAGAUAGUUAGAUGAAUAGAAAAAAAAAAAAAA